CUUGUUCUUUAAAUAGGGACUUGUAUCAACGGCAUCACGAGGGCUAUACUGUCUCCUCCCUCUAAUCAGUGAAACUGAUCUCCCCGUGAAGAAGCGGGGAUAUUCCUAUAAGACGAGAAGACCCCAUGGAGCUUCAAACUCAAGGCAACUCCCAGUAUACAAACCCUCAUAUUUCAAGAGUACUGCGUAACAGUUUUAGGUUGGGGUGACCGCGGAGCAUAAACAAACCUCCACGACGUAUAGAACUAAACCUUUAUCUAAGAGCUACUUCUCUAAGAAUCAGCAAACUGACGUAAAAUGACCCGAUAUCCGAUCAUCGAACCAAGUUACCCUGGGGAUAACAGCGCAAUCCACUUCAAGAGCCCAUAUCGACAAGCGGGUUUACGACCUCGAUGUUGGAUCAGGGUAACCCNGUGGUGCAGCCGCUACUAAUGGUACGUNGGCNCAACGAU
rnacentral:rRNA from 1 species